GCACUGGUGGGUCAAUGAUAGACUUCUUGCUUUCUAUGUUGGAGACCCAGGUUGGACUCCUGGCUAAUUCA
rnacentral:tRNA from 1 species